rnacentral:lncRNA from 1 species
UAUUAGUUUAACAUGUGAAAUGUCCGUAAAGUAUCAUCAUAUGAUUGGUUUUAGGGCACAUUUAGAAACAAUCUCCCACUUGCACUAAAGCUAAUCAGCUUGGUCAUAAGUGAUGAUACCUCUUCUGUAGUCAUUUAAAAAAUGGUUGAGUAGUAGGCCUAGACAAUGGAUAUCUAUAUGUUAUCCAUAGAAGCAACCUUGAGAAUAAUGACGUCACCAUUAUACAUGAUUCUUAAUCAUGUGGUUUAGUCUCUCAUUUUAGUUCGGAUCAUGAUGAGACCUUGAUUCCCUGGCUUGAGCUAUCGCCCCAUUAGUGUCGUAGUGUCGGUACACUAGAGACACUCUCUGGUUGGAACCGAAUAGAGAGUUCAUGAAUGAACUUUCUCAUCCAAACAACAUUGUUGUAAGCUUCUAUAUGGCAAUAUAUUUUGCAUUCACAAUGGAACACACUAAAGUCAUUACUUUUAAUGUUUCCAUCCAAAUAUCUCUUUAGUCAUAAUAAAGAGAUAUCUGAUUAUCUCUUCAUUCAUAAUGAAGAAACAUCUAAUGAUGGACUAGAUUCAUAAUCUAAUACAUUUACGCUUCCAUUACGUUACUCUAAUUCUUCCUCAUUCUUGAGGAAUCCAUCCUUUAUUAUUUCUCAAAUACUUAAUGAUUCAUUUAACAGUUGCCAUGGUUCUGAUCCUGGGCUUGCAUUGAUAUCGUCUUGUACCGAUCUUGGUACAACUCAUAUCAAUGUUUUUCAUACAAUAUGAAAUACAUAAAUCACAUUUCUGCGUAUACAUAAAGGAUUCUAUUUACGAAUUAUUUCUUUGGGAGUCAAAGGGUAAGUUCCCUUUGCGAAGAGCUACCUCCAAGUCUCACUAGAGUUGUUCUUCUAAUUUAAGUUUAUCAUCAUAUGAGAAACUUCCUAGCAUCUUUCGUCUAUCAUUAGGGCUUGACAUAAUCCAAUUAUAUCCUGAAAUCUAUCAAUAUAGAUUUCCAUCCCAUGUUUAUAGACUAUGUCUCCCAUAUACAUUCUAUCAUUAUAGAAUGUUUAAAGUCAUAACUUUAACGAAGAAGUAUUCUUUUCAUUUCCAGAAUUAAUUUAUCAUAUAUGUAUAUAUUCAAAUUUAGGAACAUGAUUGACUCCCACUAAUCUUUUGUAAACCUAGUAAACAAAAGAUUCAUUUACAUCUUUAUGAGAAAUCAAACGAUUUGAUCUUUCUCUCAUAAGACGCUUAUAGCUCCCACUAGCUUGCUAAGAUUCAUGAUGGAUGGAUCUCUACAACUUACAUGUCUUGUGAUUCAUAGUUUUAGACAUAUAUUAUCAAGACUAUCUUAAUAAUGGUUUCGGAAACCCAUAUUAUGUCCAAACAUUGAAUCACCAUUAAGUUGUAGCUAGCAAUCUUUGAAUUAAUUGAAACCAAGACUACGUCAAAGAUGGUUUCUUCCAAGUCAACCAAUCUCUUUGAUUGUAGUCACCUUAAGCUACCAAUUAGCUAUUAAAGGUUUCACUAUUUCGGGUCAAAUGGUACUUUACCAUUUCCUCGAGUAUAUUUUGUAUAUACACUCAAUGUAGUCAUAAGGAUUUUCAUUCUUAUUUCUUUUGAAUUCAAAGGUGUAACUCUAUGACAUAGUCAUAAAGUUCAAACCAUUCAACUGAGACGGUUUAUAAAUCCUUCUCGACUACCUUGGAGCUUGUAGGAACUAGGUUGUUAUAUUUGUUGAUUACCAUCUUGUCUCUCGAAGAACCCAUUCUUUGAGUUCUAUCUAUCGCUCAUUUGUGCUUUAGACAAAUUAUAUUGUAGGAUUACAAUGAACUACCCAACAAAACAACAUUUCUUAGUUGGUUUAUAGAAGUGAUAUCCAAAGGUUAAUUUAAGGAUAUCCACAAGAUAAUUCUCAAACAAAUAUUGCUUAUUAGCACACUGUUGGAAAUGUGCCGUAAAACCAAUCAUAUGAUGAUACUUUACGGACAUUUCACAUGUUAAACUAAUCUAGUUUAAUAUCAAGGGCAAAGAUUAUUGUUUUAAGCCGUCUCAUAUAAAUGUUAUAUGCUUAAACGAUAAGUCCAAGGAAUAUGUAAUUAGGAGAAUGUAAUUUAAACAAGUUAGAUUUAUGAGACCAUUCUCUUUCGUAUACAUGUCUUAAACGUUCCUGAUCAUAGGAUUGCCAAUUGGGCAUUGACAUUCCGUUAAGAUCAGUACAUGCUAUGUCUUCUCUUAGGGAGAGUGACUAGUCUCGAGUCAUUGGUGUGAUUGACACCAAGACAAGCAUGUAGGUGCUCAAUAGCGAAUGAGUUCACUAAACACGAUCAACGAAGAGUUCUCAUACUCAUGUCACAUGAGAACUCAUGGUUGGGAUAAUGCAAAGUAGUCAUUUGACCUGACGCAUCAUAGUUGUCUUGUGGUUAGGUACUUGAUCUUUGAUUAUGUCAAAGUCACCCUAUCCGUGGGUGUCCACGGUAUCGUCGGGGUUAAGCCACUUAGCCAUGAAGGCAAGUGAAUGCGCAACAAGGGAUCUCUAACCUUCAAACCGUUUGGGGGAGAAUACUCUAUGAUAUGAUUAAGAAUCUCUGGCCAGAGUAUGAAUGAGAUUUAGGAAGUCAUUCCAAAUCACAGUCAAGGUAAUCAUAUAAGUAAAUGAAUCACAUUGGAUAGUAGACAUGAAUAAACUAUCAAACCAAACAAUGUGGUCAAGAGUAUUGUAUUAGAGAAAGACCGUAUUGCAUUGUAAUCCUAAACUGAAUAGGUUCUCCACCUCUUCUGAUUAGCUUGGGUAACCAUGACAUACUGCUAGGUGUCACUCAUGGUUUAUGGAAGCCCUAAACAUGUAUAAUCACUAAAGGGAGAAUCGAAAGUAAGUUUCAAUUCACAAUCGAUUUGAAAUGGUUUUAAUCGCCCACUGCCUCGCUAAAAGGAACCUAAUGGAUCAUACACCGUGUAAGGUGGAGAUUGAAGAAACAAUGGAGAUGAGUAAGAAUAAUUAAAUGGUUUAAUUAUUUAUGGCAAGGAUUAAUUAAUAUGUUAAUUAAUCAAAUGAAUAAGUUCGUUAAAGACCUCGGGAUAGUUUUUGGACCUUAAGGCCCAAUGGGCUUCGAACGUCAAGCCCAUUGAAUUAAGUUGUAUGACAACUUAAUGAAUAAUGAUUCACAAAGGCCAAAUUAGCCCAAUAAUACCCUAAGGCCGGCCAUUUAGAGAUGGAGUGAGUUUUGGACUUAUUUACAAGUUUACUACUCCAAUGAAUUAAGGUAUAAAUAUGACUUUAUAGCCAAAAUUCAUUUAGGGUUUUCUUUUGGGGAAAAGAUGAGAACAUAAGCUCUCAUUUCUCUCUAAAGUGGCCGGCCUCCUUGGAGAGUUUAGCUAGCAAUCCUACUACUCCAAGGUCACUCAUUUCUUCUCCAAUCUAACCUUGGUGAAGAGACUUAGAGGUUCUCAAUUUUGGGAACUUGGAGAACCAUUUCAUCCAUCCAAAUCCAUAGAUCUAAGAAGCAAGGAAUGAAGGCCCUCUCCUUGGGUGAUUAGCCUUUGCUUAUGCAAAGAGGAAUCUACAAAGGUAUAAAUUUCUCAACUAACAAAUGUUGUUUUAAGUUGAGUCAAGGUUCACCAAUCUACUAGGCUUUGAAUUUCAUGGUUAAUGUUUUGUUUUUAAGAGCCUACAAGCAUGAUUCCGCCUUUUAAUUGUUAAUUGCAUGCUAUAGAUGUUGCUUAAAUGAACAUGUUUUUCACAAAAUUUCCUUCACACACAACCCCAAAUCUUAACACGAUUAAGACUUAUCUUUCUUUCCAACUACAUCCUAUGGAGUCAUGAAAAUUUUGGAAGAUCUUCUAUUUGACAAUCAUAUUGUCUUAGAAGCAUAUAUCCUAUAUAUGGGUAAUUGAUAACAUCCACCAAACUAAAUCUUAUUCAAGUUCGUUCUUCUCCUAAUGGAGAAAUCCAUUAUCUUAUGAUGCUUCUUUCCUUGAUAUCUUUCAAGGAAACUGUUCUAAAGUGUUACCUUUCCUUGGAUCAAAUCUAAGGAGGUUGAUGCGAAAGUUAUCUUAACACACAAAUUUAACCGUCUUUUGACAAUUGUAGUACAAGUAUAAGUAGGGAUCGUUCUGGACCGGGGAUUAGGAGGGCUUGCUAAUAACCUCUAAACUGACUCAAAAAUAUAAAACUAAACUUAAAAACACUUAACAUGACUCACAAGACUCAAAGCAAACUUAAAAUACUCAAAACAGCUUAAAACAACUAAAUAAACUUAAACUAGACACUAGGAAUGACUCUGGAUGAAAAUUGACUUUUACUUGAAUCAAAACACUUAAAAACACAAACUAAAACAGAUUGGAAACAAAAAACUAAAAGGGGGGUUUUGAUUUGGAUGAAGUUGUAACAAACAAACAAGUAUGAAAAACUAGACAGAUUGUAAAACAAAUUUGAGAAAUAAGAUGAUGGAUGAGAUAGCUAGAGGCUUUUUCUCCACACAUGACAUGUAUGCAAAUAAUUUGAUUUCCAGUUACUACUUCAUUGAAUUAUGAACGACAAUGCUCCAAAUUAACCGUGACAUCACUAGUUAAGUCUCAGAUUUUCCUUGUUUUAUUGGAUUGGAUAACAUCAUUCGACAACCCAAAACAUUCUUCUAAAGUUUCCUACAUGACAUCAUAAUAGAGAUACAAUCAAAGAUCAUUACGUUUAAUGAAAAUCAUAAGCAUUGACAAAGCACUUGCAACUAUGACAUCAUGUCACUCAUGCUAGGAAUUGAACUUAACGCGAUCGUUUAUAAGCGACCUUCACUACAUAUGAAUAUAAGUUUGUAACGAUUAUGUGAAACUCCCUUAUAUUCUAGCAACGGAUUUAUGCAUGCCAAUUAAGUGUCGACCCUUAAUUAACAAAUACAAAUAAGUUAUCAAUCAAAUAGUUAAGCCAAUUGCAUUCAUGAUUCAAGAGUUCAUAACUGGAAUUUAUCAAAUUAUAUUGCACACAUAAUCAUGGCUUUGAAAUCACCCCUAGCUAAGAGGGGUUUAGCCACUCAUAUUUACAAAAAAAAUGAAAGGAAAUGAAUUUAAACAUUAGAAACAAAAGAAAGAAAACACCUAAACGCUCAAACGAUCCAAGUGGGACAACAAGCACGUCCAAGCACUUUCCUUCCCUUCCUUUGCUACGGCACAAGGUGUUGGUGAGUGUUUGAAGGUUUGUUUGGAUGGAGGAAUGGAUGUAAGGAUGAAUGGAAGUGUUUGGAUGAAGUGGUAUUGAAAUGGGGAUGAAUGAUCAAGCCAAAAACUAAGCUAUAUGGCUGCCACACACACUUCCUUUUAUAGAGGAAGUGCAUGGCAAUGGAGGGGAAUUGGUGGUGUGUGUAAUGAUUCAAGGGUGAAAAUGAAGUAAUGAUGCAAAGCAUGGGGGGUAAAAUGGAGUGGUGUUGCAGCAAUGAGUGCAUUGAGUGGUGUUUGAAAUGAUUCAAAGGUGAAAGUGCAGUGAUGAUGCAAAGCAUGGGGGGUAAAAUGGAGUGGUGUUGCAGCUAGGGAACAUGAAUGAUUAUGCACAUGGUAGAGAAAGAAAAGGGAGGUGGAAUGGUGCAGAAAUGAGUCAAAGGUGGAGCAAGACUCAUGAUGCAAGGCAUGGGAUUCCAAAUGUGAUGGAUGGUGCAUCAAAGAGUGCAUGUAGUGGAGGUAAAAGUUGUAUGAAAUCUGAUGGGUGAAGGGGACAAGAAAUGUGCAGCACUUGAGUGCAAUGAUUCAAUGUUUUGAUGCAUGAAAUCAUAAAUAAUGAAGGAGACAAGGGUGGUGCAUGGCAUGGGUGGAUAAUGAGUGUAAUGGUGCAUGAAAUGAGUGCAAGAAAUCUGGUGCAUGAAGGGGAGAAGGGUUUAUGCAUGGCAUGGAGUGAUUUAUGGCAGAAAAUAGGAAAGGAAUGGCUCCCUUGCACGACAAGGAAGAGAAUUGGUGAA